GUAAAUCCGUAAUAAUAUGUGGAGCGAUAUGUUUGUUGCUGGUUACAAACAAAAACAAAUUAAUAAUACUGUGUUCAGUCAUGCAUGAUUUGAAUUCAAAAAACGUUACCGAAGAUCUGCAGUUUUUGCACAUUUUAAUACAUGGCUAUACCUGGCAAAUGAGAUGAAGUUGUACCACUUCCAUCAGUCCCGACAUUUGUCAAAGAAGUGCAGUUUAUAAAUGACCAAGUGGAUGAAGCAGCCACACUCUCACCGGUCCAGAUAUUCCUCAAAGAAGAGGAAGGUAUACCUGGCCAAUGAGAUGAAGUUGUACCACUUCCAUCAGUCCCGACAUUUGUCAAAGAAGUGCAGUUUAUAAAUGACCAAGUGGAUGAAGCAGCCACACUCUCACCGGUCCAGAUAUUCCUCAAAGAAGAGGAAGGUGCGUAUUGUAAGGCAGAAGAGCCUGUGCUGGUCUCACUUGUCACAGUGCUUCUCAAAGAAGAACAUGUGCUUGAUGAAUCGCUGGAGGACUUUGAAGUUGGCAGUCACCCAUUGCUAAUAAAUCUGGUGUGUGCAUAUAGAACCAAAAAUGGAAGUUACUGUGAAGUGUCUGCAGGAUGACUGCAAUUUGUUUUCAACGUCUUGGCAAAUUUGAGAACACAUGCUGCAAAAGCACAUGCUUGCAGAGGAGAAAGGAAAGUUUAUAUUCCAGACAAUGGAUGAGUUUCUGAAGUGAAAGUCCAAAGAAGAGAAGACAGCAAGAAGUAGCUAUUUGUGUUUUUCAUGGUUUAUAGGCCUACUGGGGAAACUUGCCAUGUAAAAAAAAUGAAUAACGCAUCAAGCUUGGU